GUGACCGUAGCUCAGGGGUAGAGCACUGGAUUGUGGCUCCGGGAGUCGCGGGUUCAAAUCCCGUCGGUCACC
rnacentral:tRNA from 2 species